rnacentral:lncRNA from 13 species
CAUGUUCUGGUUUUCCAAAAUCAGGUUUUGACACAUAUUAUAUGUUCAGUAAUUUUUUUUUUUAGAUGGAAUUUUGCUCUUGUUUCCCAGGCUGGAGUGCAAUGGCACAAUCUUGGCUCACCGCAACCUCCAACUCCUGGUUCAAGCAAUUCUCCUGCCUCAGCCUCCCAACUAGCUGGGAUUACAGUCAUUAUGUUGAUUGUUACCUACGGCCAGCAUCUAAGGAAGCCAUCUCAGAAAGAUUCUCUAUAACCAAGAAAUUCAUACAGAGUGCUCACCACUGAAAGCACACAGAGUUGAAGCCAGGCUGUACAAGAAGCAUGACACCAACCAGCAUCUGCUUCCACCCAUGAGAGAAGAUAAACAGAAGCCAGCUCUUCAGGAAUAAAAUGGAAAGAAAGAGGCA